CUUUUCCCCAUGUCACUUUUUCAUGUCAGUUUCAGUUAAGAUUGUUUUCCUUAAUCCAGCUUAGUUUACACAGCCCUUGUUUUUGCUAUAUAGUAGUGAUAUUGUAAUGGUAUUUUAUAUGUUGUUAGGCUUAGAUUUGUUACUUUGGUAAUUGUGCAUUUAUUUGUAUGGUUAAGAAGCAUUUAAGUAGAGUUCCACAAAAGCCUUCUUGGAGCUUCUGUUUCUCUAGGUUAUGGUGCUAAAGAUUCCAAAUUAAAUGUUUUCAUUUGUUGUGCCCUUGUAAC